AUGAAGUUUUGGGGCAAAAGGCUUAAUUCACCAUUCAUCACCUAACUCGGGUCUCAUAUGUCUUCAGCGAUGCCCAAAACUCAAUGUAUCCAAGCCACUUCACCGUCACCAUCAGCGUUUAAUCACCAAGAAAAUAUUCAAAACUCCAUUUCAAACUCUCACUUCCUCAUACACGCGGAUUUUCCCCUUUCAAAUCUCAAUCGAACAGCGAAAUAAAAAACGGGACGCUAUAGAUUUAUCACCGAAUUGAAUCCUCACUGAAGUCGAAACCAUCUUGCACGCGAGUGAAGGAAGACGAAGGGAGAAAAACUUACCGGACGAUUCUGACGCGGUGGCUCAGAGGUGAUUAAUUAUUCGGUCUUCUUCUUUUCUCCUAUGCGCUCGUUGUUCUUCAAUUGUGUGAUCGUUGGUUCGUCGAUGUCGUGCCUUGAAAUGAAGUCGUAAGGAGGUUUUUGAUAGGUUUAGAUUCUAGUUAAGUUUUAUAAUAUAUGAACCAUCAGUCACCAUAUCCCAUACCGAUUUAACUUUAUGGCAAUUCCAAACCUUAGCGCACAUAACUGAUAUGUAACUUUUUCUUGAGGAGCAUGUAAAACCAUUGUUGUAGGGUUUGAAAAACGGUUAGAAGGUUUUUUUUGGGGAAAAAGGUGAAAUGGUUUCCUUUGACAAGAAAAUGAAGGAUUUCAAUUUCAACUAUUGCUUGUGUAUGCAGGUUAUGGACAUGGUUCUACUUUGGUAUUGGCUUGGCUUCAAAGAAGUUUUAAAGGCUUGGUGAUAUGCUAUAAAACUUGAUUUGGAGUUGGCUAGGAAUUUGGAAUGCUUUUGAAGCUUGAGUUGGAGAUGGACUUAAUGGCUCAUGUUGUAUCGUUGUAAAUUGGAAUGCUUUGAAACAAAUGGAAUUUGUAAUGUAACUUUGGUAAUUGUAUGUAUGUAUUAUGGUUGAAUUUGAAAUGAUAUAUGUAUGUAUUGUGAAGUGUAAUUUUGAAGUUGGAUGGAUUGGAAUGACUUUGACUUGUAAAUAAAUGUGAAUUCCAAUUGUAUGACAUUGUUGCAUUAUGAUGAGAUUCGAAUUGUAAUGGUUAAAUUUUGAAUGUAUAAGAAGUGGUUUUGGAAUUUGGGCUUAUGAAUGGUUUGACUUGAUAUGAACAUG
rnacentral:lncRNA from 1 species